AUUGAACGCUGGCGGCAGGCCUAACACAUGCAAGUCGAACGAGUGGCGGACGGGAGAGUAAUGUCUGGGAAACUACCUGAUGGCGGGGGAUAACGACUGGACACGGUAGCUAAUACCGCAUACCAUCGGAUGUGCCCAGAUGUGAUUAGCUAGUAUGUGGGGUAAAGGCUCACCUAGGCGACGAUCCCUAGCUGGUCUUAGAGGAGGACCAGCCACACUGGAACUUAGACACGGUCCAGACGCCUACGGGAGGCAGCAUUGUGGAAGAUUGCACAAGGGGCGCAAGCCUGAUGCAGCCAUGCCGCGUGUAUGAAGAAGGCCUUCGGGUUGUAAAGUACUUUCAGCGGGGAGGCGUUACCCGCAGAAGAAGCACCGGCUAACUCCGUGCCAGCCGCCGCGGUAAUUC
rnacentral:rRNA from 1 species